GAGUUUGAUCUUGGCUCAGAUUGAACGCUGGCGGCAUGCCUUACACAUGCAAGUCGAACGCGAAAGAGGGGCAACCCUUGAGUAGAGUGGCGAACGGGUGAGUAACGCAUCGGAACGUAUCCAGUAGUGGGGGAUAACCCAUCGAAAGAUGGGCUAAUACCGCAUACGCCCCGAGGGGGAAAGUGGGGGAUCCGCAAGGACCUCACGUUAUUGGAGCGGCCGAUGUCCGAUUAGCUAGUUGGCGGGGUAAGAGCCCACCAAGGCGACGAUCGGUAGCUGGUCUGAGAGGAUGAUCAGCCACACUGGGACUGAGACACGGCCCAGACUCCUACGGGAGGCAGCAGUGGGGAAUUUUGGACAAUGGGGGCAACCCUGAUCCAGCCAUGCCGCGUGAGUGAAGAAGGCCUUC
rnacentral:rRNA from 1 species